rnacentral:rRNA from 1 species
UACGUAGGGUGCAAGGCGUUGUCCGGAAUUAUUGGGCCGUAAAGAGCUCGUAGGCGGUUUGUCGCGUCUGCUGUGAAAACUCGGGGCUUAACCCCGGGCCGCCAGUGGGUACGGGCAGACUAGAGUGCGGUAGGGGAGACUGGAAUUCCUGGUGUAGCGGUGAAAUGCGCAGAUAUCAGAGGAACACCGAUAGCGAAGGCAGCUCGCUGGGACGGUACUGACGCUGAGGUGCGAAAGCGUGGGGAGCGAACAGG